rnacentral:rRNA from 1 species
UUAAGCGACUAAGCGUACACGGUGGAUGCCCUGGCAGUCAGAGGCGAUGAAGGACGUGCUAAUCUGCGAUAAGCGUCGGUAAGGUGAUAUGAACCGUUAUAACCGGCGAUUUCCGAAUGGGGAAACCCAGUGUGUUUCGACACACUAUCAUUAACUGAAUCCAUAGGUUAAUGAGGCGAACCGGGGGAACUGAAACAUCUAAGUACCCCGAGGAAAAGAAAUCAACCGAGAUUCCCCCAGUAGCGGCGAGCGAACGGGGAGCAGCCCAGAGCCUGAAUCAGUGUGUGUGUUAGUGGAAGCGUCUGGAAAGGCGCGCGAUACAGGGUGACAGCCCCGUACACAAAAAUGCACAUGCUGUGAGCUCGAUGAGUAGGGCGGGACACGUGGUAUCCUGUCUGAAUAUGGGGGGACCAUCCUCCAAGGCUAAAUACUCCUGACUGACCGAUAGUGAACCAGUACCGUGAGGGAAAGGCGAAAAGAACCCCGGCGAGGGGAGUGAAAAAGAACCUGAAACCGUGUACGUACAAGCAGUGGGAGCACGCUUAGGCGUGUGACUGCGUACCUUUUGUAUAAUGGGUCAGCGACUUAUAUUCUGUAGCAAGGUUAACCGAAUAGGGGAGCCGAAGGGAAACCGAGUCUUAACUGGGCGUUAAGUUGCAGGGUAUAGACCCGAAACCCGGUGAUCUAGCCAUGGGCAGGUUGAAGGUUGGGUAACACUAACUGGAGGACCGAACCGACUAAUGUUGAAAAAUUAGCGGAUGACUUGUGGCUGGGGGUGAAAGGCCAAUCAAACCGGGAGAUAGCUGGUUCUCCCCGAAAGCUAUUUAGGUAGCGCCUCGUGAAUUCAUCUCCGGGGGUAGAGCACUGUUUCGGCAAGGGGGUCAUCCCGACUUACCAACCCGAUGCAAACUGCGAAUACCGGAGAAUGUUAUCACGGGAGACACACGGCGGGUGCUAACGUCCGUCGUGAAGAGGGAAACAACCCAGACCGCCAGCUAAGGUCCCAAAGUCAUGGUUAAGUGGGAAACGAUGUGGGAAGGCCCAGACAGCCAGGAUGUUGGCUUAGAAGCAGCCAUCAUUUAAAGAAAGCGUAAUAGCUCACUGGUCGAGUCGGCCUGCGCGGAAGAUGUAACGGGGCUAAACCAUGCACCGAAGCUGCGGCAGCGACGCUUAUGCGUUGUUGGGUAGGGGAGCGUUCUGUAAGCCUGCGAAGGUGUGCUGUGAGGCAUGCUGGAGGUAUCAGAAGUGCGAAUGCUGACAUAAGUAACGAUAAAGCGGGUGAAAAGCCCGCUCGCCGGAAGACCAAGGGUUCCUGUCCAACGUUAAUCGGGGCAGGGUGAGUCGACCCCUAAGGCGAGGCCGAAAGGCGUAGUCGAUGGGAAACAGGUUAAUAUUCCUGUACUUGGUGUUACUGCGAAGGGGGGACGGAGAAGGCUAUGUUGGCCGGGCGACGGUUGUCCCGGUUUAAGCGUGUAGGCUGGUUUUCCAGGCAAAUCCGGAAAAUCAAGGCUGAGGCGUGAUGACGAGGCACUACGGUGCUGAAGCAACAAAUGCCCUGCUUCCAGGAAAAGCCUCUAAGCAUCAGGUAACAUCAAAUCGUACCCCAAACCGACACAGGUGGUCAGGUAGAGAAUACCAAGGCGCUUGAGAGAACUCGGGUGAAGGAACUAGGCAAAAUGGUGCCGUAACUUCGGGAGAAGGCACGCUGAUAUGUAGGUGAAGUCCCUCGCGGAUGGAGCUGAAAUCAGUCGAAGAUACCAGCUGGCUGCAACUGUUUAUUAAAAACACAGCACUGUGCAAACACGAAAGUGGACGUAUACGGUGUGACGCCUGCCCGGUGCCGGAAGGUUAAUUGAUGGGGUUAGCGCAAGCGAAGCUCUUGAUCGAAGCCCCGGUAAACGGCGGCCGUAACUAUAACGGUCCUAAGGUAGCGAAAUUCCUUGUCGGGUAAGUUCCGACCUGCACGAAUGGCGUAAUGAUGGCCAGGCUGUCUCCACCCGAGACUCAGUGAAAUUGAACUCGCUGUGAAGAUGCAGUGUACCCGCGGCAAGACGGAAAGACCCCGUGAACCUUUACUAUAGCUUGACACUGAACAUUGAGCCUUGAUGUGUAGGAUAGGUGGGAGGCUUUGAAGUGUGGACGCCAGUCUGCAUGGAGCCGACCUUGAAAUACCACCCUUUAAUGUUUGAUGUUCUAACGUUGACCCGUAAUCCGGGUUGCGGACAGUGUCUGGUGGGUAGUUUGACUGGGGCGGUCUCCUCCUAAAGAGUAACGGAGGAGCACGAAGGUUGGCUAAUCCUGGUCGGACAUCAGGAGGUUAGUGCAAUGGCAUAAGCCAGCUUGACUGCGAGCGUGACGGCGCGAGCAGGUGCGAAAGCAGGUCAUAGUGAUCCGGUGGUUCUGAAUGGAAGGGCCAUCGCUCAACGGAUAAAAGGUACUCCGGGGAUAACAGGCUGAUACCGCCCAAGAGUUCAUAUCGACGGCGGUGUUUGGCACCUCGAUGUCGGCUCAUCACAUCCUGGGGCUGAAGUAGGUCCCAAGGGUAUGGCUGUUCGCCAUUUAAAGUGGUACGCGAGCUGGGUUUAGAACGUCGUGAGACAGUUCGGUCCCUAUCUGCCGUGGGCGCUGGAGAACUGAGGGGGGCUGCUCCUAGUACGAGAGGACCGGAGUGGACGCAUCACUGGUGUUCGGGUUGUCAUGCCAAUGGCACUGCCCGGUAGCUAAAUGCGGAAGAGAUAAGUGCUGAAAGCAUCUAAGCACGAAACUUGCCCCGAGAUGAGUUCUCCCUGACUCCUUGAGAGUCCUGAAGGAACGUUGAAGACGACGACGUUGAUAGGCCGGGUGUGUAAGCGCAGCGAUGCGUUGAGCUAACCGGUACUAAUGAACCGUGAGGCUUAACCU